rnacentral:rRNA from 1 species
GAUGAACGCUGGCGGCGUGCCUAAUACAUGCAAGUCGAGCGAACGGACGAGAAGCUUGCUUUUCUGAUGUUAGCGGCGGACGGGUGAGUAACACGUGGAUAACCUACCUAUAAGACUGGGAUAACUUCGGGAAACCGGAGCUAAUACCGGAUAAUAUUUUGAACCGCAUGGUUCAAAAGUGAAAGACGGUCUUGCUGUCACUUAUAGAUGGAUCCGCGCUGCAUUAGCUAGUUGGUAAGGUAACGGCUUACCAAGGCAACGAUGCAUAGCCGACCUGAGAGGGUGAUCGGCCACACUGGAACUGAGACACGGUCCAGACUCCUACGGGAGGCAGCAGUAGGGAAUCUUCCGCAAUGGGCGAAAGCCUGACGGAGCAACGCCGCGUGAGUGAUGAAGGUCUUCGGAUCGUAAAACUCUGUUAUUAGGGAAGAACAUAUGUGUAAGUAACUGUGCACAUCUUGACGGUACCUAAUCAGAAAGCCACGGCUAACUACGUGCCAGCAGCCGCGGUAAUACGUAGGUGGCAAGCGUUAUCCGGAAUUAUUGGGCGUAAAGCGCGCGUAGGCGGUUUUUUAAGUCUGAUGUGAAAGCCCACGGCUCAACCGUGGAGGGUCAUUGGAAACUGGAAAACUUGAGUGCAGAAGAGGAAAGUGGAAUUCCAUGUGUAGCGGUGAAAUGCGCAGAGAUGUGGAGGAACACCAGUGGCGAAGGCGACUUUCUGGUCUGUAACUGACGCUGAUGUGCGAAAGCGUGGGGAUCAAACAGGAUUAGAUACCCUGGUAGUCCACGCCGUAAACGAUGAGUGCUAAGUGUUAGGGGGUUUCCGCCCCUUAGUGCUGCAGCUAACGCAUUAAGCACUCCGCCUGGGGAGUACGACCGCAAGGUUGAAACUCAAAGGAAUUGACGGGGGCCCGCACAAGCGGUGGAGCAUGUGGUUUAAUUCGAAGCAACGCGAAGAACCUUACCAAAUCUUGACAUCCUUUGACAACUAUAGAGAUAGAGCCUUCCCCUUCGGGGGACAAAGUGACAGGUGGUGCAUGGUUGUCGUCAGCUCGUGUCGUGAGAUGUUGGGUUAAGUCCCGCAACGAGCGCAACCCUUAAGCUUAGUUGCCAUCAUUAAGUUGGGCACUCUAAGUUGACUGCCGGUGACAAACCGGAGGAAGGUGGGGAUGACGUCAAAUCAUCAUGCCCCUUAUGAUUUGGGCUACACACGUGCUACAAUGGACAAUACAAAGGGCAGCGAAACCGCGAGGUCAAGCAAAUCCCAUAAAGUUGUUCUCAGUUCGGAUUGUAGUCUGCAACUCGACUACAUGAAGCUGGAAUCGCUAGUAAUCGUAGAUCAGCAUGCUACGGUGAAUACGUUCCCGGGUCU